rnacentral:rRNA from 1 species
GGGGCAACCUGGCGGCGAGCGGCGAACGGGUGAGUAAUGCAUCGGAACGUGUCCAUGCCGUGGGGGAUAGCCCGGCGAAAGCCGGAUUAAUACCGCAUACGCCCGAGAGGGGAAAGUGGGGGACCGCAAGGCCUCACGCGAUUGGAUCGGCCGAUGUCCGAUUAGCUAGUUGGCGGGGUAAAGGCCCACCAAGGCGAUGAUCGGUAGCUGGUCUGAGAGGAUGAUCAGCCACACUGGGACUGAGACACGGCCCAGACUCCUACGGGAGGCAGCAGUGGGGAAUUUUGGACAAUGGGGGCAACCCUGAUCCAGCCAUUCCGCGUGAGUGAAGAAGGCCUUCGGGUUGUAAAGCUCUUUUGUCCGGAACGAAACGGGUAGCGUGAAUAUCGCUGCCUACUGACGGUACCGGAAGAAUAAGCACCGGCUAACUACGUGCCAGCAGCCGCGGUAAUACGUAGGGUGCGAGCGUUAAUCGGAAUUACUGGGCGUAAAGCGUGCGCAGGCGGUUUUGCAAGCCGGAUGUGAAAUCCCCGGGCUUAACCUGGGAAUGGCAUUUGGGACUGCAAGGCUGGAGUGCGGCAGAGGAGACUGGAAUUCCUGGUGUAGCAGUGAAAUGCGUAGAUAUCAGGAGGAACACCGAUGGCGAAGGCAGGUCUCUGGGCUGACACUGACGCUCAUGCACGAAAGCGUGGGGAGCAAACAGGAUUAGAUACCCUGGUAGUCCACGCCCUAAACGAUGUCGACUGGUUGUUGGGGGUUUGACACUCUCAGUAACGAAGCUAACGCGUGAAGUCGACCGCCUGGGGAGUACGGCCGCAAGGUUAAAACUC